GGCGGAUUAGCUCAGUUGGUUAGAGCAGGGGAAUCAUAAUCCUCGUGUCCGGGGUUCGAAUCCCUGAUCCGCUACCA
rnacentral:tRNA from 1 species